UGCCAAUAUACUUCAGUUUUCCUUUGUAAUUCUUACAUUUAUAAUCAAUAAACACAAGUUUCGAACAUGAACACACUGGAACUUCCCUAAACUAAUCUAAUGACAAAAAUAAGUUCCAUCACUAAUAUUACUGUAAUAUUUGGCCUAAACGGCUGCUUUAAUUAUUAUCAGCGGUCUCAGAGGCUAGUGAAGGAAUGCAUUGAGGGUCUCCCAGGAAGGGGGGAGGGGGGGGGGGUGUGCUCCUUGGAAAUGUUCCCUUUGUUCCACUGUUCCCAUUGCAACAAAACACCUUGUUUUCUAGAGUUAACCACAAGAAAGCUUGUACAAGCAUGUUAUUUUACAUUUUUCAGGGAUAUUUACCCCGGUGUAACAACUUUAACGAAUGUAAAGCCGAAAUGAAGCAUUCGAAACCUUCCUGGUGUCCUUUAAUAUCAAUAUUUUGCAUCUAUAUUCUUCAGCCAACGACAUUGUAAAAUUAAAAAUUGUCUUAUAUAUUUAUUUGUCACGAUCCUGGUGUUUCGACGAAACAAAACAUUAUAUUGCUACUUCACUAUGCAAAUAUGCAAGAAAAUUAUUGUAAAACGUGUUAGAAUUUUUCUGUAUAAAUAGCCAAACAUAACAUACAUAACAUUCUCUAGUAGCAACUUUGACAUUUCAAAUCAAGCCAGUAUUUUAAAUGAUAACUAUAACCUUAUACUCAUCAAGUGAACAUACCGUAUUCCCUCUAUUUACCACCAGGGGGUAAUUUUUCCAGUGGUUCUGGACCGCGUGGGGGCUUAUUGGAAGGGAGGGGCUAAAUAAAGGCUGCGGGCUAACUAACCUUUUAACAAAGAUAUUAAGUUACAGGAUCAUCAUUAGAGAAACAAUUAACCAUUAUCUAGCCAUAUAUCAGUGAAGGGGUAGCAAAUCUUCGAGUUAAGCCCCUCGAGUUAAGCCCUUCGAGUUAAGCCCCGACCACGCCCUUUCGAGUUAAGCCCCGACCACGCCCAAACCACGCCCAUUUCCGUCGAGGGCUUAGC